ACCACAGUCAGAACGUGUGUGUGUGUGUGUGUGUGUGUGUGUGUGUGUGUGUCAGCAUAACGAAGGGAGAAGGCUUGCAGAGAAACACGAAGGGAAGAAAUGUUAACGUAAAAGUGUUAACGAAGAAAAUAAAUAAUGAAGACAGAAGGAACGAAAGGCAGCAAGAAUAAAGAGGAAAAAAAGCCUACACGGUGAAGAGCUGAGGAAGGAAGGCAACAAGGAGGAUGGGGCGUGAAGGAGACAGAGAGAGGGAAAAGGAUAGAGGAGGAAGAGGCUGCGGGGUGGACGAAUGAUCACUAGGGAAAAGAGUAUUGCUAUUAAACCCAAGAGGAGGAGAAGGAGGAGGAAGAAGAGGAGGAAGAAGAAGAAGACGAAAACAAGAACAAGAAGGAGAACAAGAAGAACAGAAGAACAAGAAGAAAAAGAAAGAAAGAUUAUGAAAAUAAGAAAGUAAAGGAUGAGGAUGAGGAGGAGGAGGGAGAGAAAAAGAAGAAGAGAAGAAGAAAACGAAAAGAAGAAAAAGAAAAAGAAGUCAAAGAAGGAAAGGAAGCGGAGAAAGAGGAGGAUGAAACAAAAAACAAAACAAACAAAAAAAAAAAAUCCGCCCAGAAGACACAGAAGAAAACACCAGCAAUAGAAGACAAGAAGACAGAUAGUAGAGGCAGCAGCACAGCAGUAGUCCCAAGCGGGCAGGUCAGUGAGGUGUGGAGGGUGUGGUGUUUGACAGAGAGUGGUGGUUCAGUCCGGGCGGUGUUAGCGAGAGGAGUACAUAGUGUAGAUAUUAUGUAGGGCGGACACAGCACACACAUACACAAAGCGAUAAAUGAGGAAAAUACAGCCAACCAAGAAUAAAAGAAACAAUAAUCCAGGAAUGCAAAUAAAAAGCAGGAAUGUAAAAGAAAUUGAAAGCUGAAAAUUAAAAGAAUCGAAAGUAAGUUUAAUGGAAGAUUGAAUGAGGAAACAAUAAUCCAGGAAUGCAAAUAAAAAGCAGGAAUGUAAAAGAAAUUGAAAGCUGAAAAUUAAAAGAAUCGAAAGUAAGUUUAAUGGAAGAUUGAAUGAGUUAGGCAGAAUAAUAAGAUUUUUUUUUCAGGCUUCAAAGAAAAAGUGAAACAAAAGAAAUGGUUAAAGCUAAAUCAUAAAGGAGAGAACGGUUAAGGAGUUGUGUUAUAUGAUAGUGUGUGUGUGUGUGUGUGUGUGUGUGUGUGUGUGUGUGUGAUAGUAACAGGGGAGGCAGUCGAGUCUGUCUUGAGCUUGCAUGGAAUAACAACAUGUCUAGUCUUGUCUGUGUCUCACUAUGUAUGUUCUGGUUGAAGGCGUCGAGAUCGUAGUCUCAGUAAAGUCUUAUAUGGCAAGGUCCGUCUUACUCAGUUUGGCCGAAUUUGAGUCUGUUAUGAUCUCACUCCUGCAACUCCUACUCAGACGCUUUCGGCUCCUACAAAAAUAAGUGCCUAAAAAAAAAAAAAGAAUAAACUUCGGCCAAAUCCGUGCCAGUAGGUCAAAAUUUGGUGUUGCUACGAUGGGUUUAAGUAAAAAAAGAAAAUAACUGGAUAAACUUCGGCCAAAUCCACGCCAAUAGGUCAAAAUUUGGUGUUGCUACGAUGGGUUUAAGUAAAAAAAGAAAAAAAUUGAAUAAACUUCGGCCAAAUCCGUGCCAGUAGGUCAAAAUUUGGUGUUGCUACGAUGGGUUUAAGUAAAAAAAAAGAAAAAAACUGGAUAAACUUCGGCCAAAUCCGCGCCAAUAGGUCAAAAAUUGGUGUUGCUACGAUGGGUUUAAGUAAAAAAAAGAAAAAACUGGAUAAACUUCGGCCAAAUCCGCGCCAAUAGGUCAAAAUUUAGUGUUGCUACGAUGGGUUUAAGUAAAAAAAGAAAAAAAAACUAAAUAAACUUCGGCCAAAUCCGCGCCAGUAGGUCAAAAUUUGGUGUUGCUACGAUGGGUUUAAGUAAAAAAAAGAAAAAACUGGAUAAACUUCGGCCAAAUCCGCGCCAAUACGUCAAAAUUUAGUGUUGCUACGAUGGGUUUAAGUAAAAAAAAGAAAAAAACUGGAUAAACUUCGGCCAAAUCCGUGCCAAUAGGUCAAAAUUUAGUGUUGCUACGAUGGGUUUAAGUAAAAAAAGAAAAAAAAAAGAAUAAACUUCGGCCAAAUCCGUGCCAGUAGGUCAAAAUUUGGUGUUGCUACGAUGGGUUUAAGUAAAAAAAGAAAAAAAAAAGAAUAAACUUCGGCCAAAUCCGCGCCAAUAGGUCAAAAUUUGGUGUGUAACUAGUUCCCAAGGCCACAAAGGAGAUUAGUCAGGUUCUCAUAAGUGUUUUUCACAUUCACAGUGCAGAAGCCUUGUCAAAUACCACUAGAGUCAUAAACCUACCCAUGGAAAUACCAACACAUCCUCUACGGAAGUCUUAACAAAUGUGCGUAUGUAAGAAAAUGGGCCCUGGUCGUGUGGAGAUUU